rnacentral:rRNA from 1 species
GUCUACAGCCAUGCCACUCAGAACUCGCCUUAUCUCUUCUGAUCUCGGAAGCUAAGCAGGGUUGGGCCUGGUUAGUACUUGGAUGGAAGACCACCUAGGAAUACCAGGUGCUGAGAGA